rnacentral:rRNA from 1 species
CCCUUAGAGUUUGAUCCUGGCUCAGAAUCAACGCUGGCGGCGUGCCUAACACAUGCAAGUCGAACGCGAAAGCCCCGCAAGGGGUGAGUAGAGUGGCAAACGGGUGAGUAACACGUGGGUGAUCUGCCUCAGAGUGGGGGAUAACGACUCGAAAGGGUCGCUAAUACCGCAUAACAUCCUGCCUUUGGAUAGGUGGAGAUCAAAGCCGGGGAUCGCAAGGCCUGGCGCUUGGAGAGGAGCCCGCGGCCGAUUAGCUAGUUGGUGAGGUAAUGGCUCACCAAGGCAACGACCGGUAUCCGGCCUGAGAGGGCGGACGGACACACUGGGACUGAGACACGGCCCAGACUCCUACGGGAGGCAGCAGUGGGGAAUUGUUCGCAAUGGGCGCAAGCCUGACGACGCAACGCCGCGUGGAGGACGAAGAUCUUCGGGUCGUAAACUCCUUUCGAUCGGGAAAAACGCCUGCGAGGCUAACAUCCUCGUAGGGUGAUGGUACCGAGAGAAGAAGCCCCGGCUAACUCUGUGCCAGCAGCCGCGGUAAUACAGGGGGGGCAAGCGUUGUUCGGAAUUACUGGGCGUAAAGGGCCAGUAGGCGGCCAACUAAGCCCGACGUGAAAUCCCCAGGCUCAACCUGGGAACUGCGUCGAUACUGGAUGGCUUGAAUUCGGGAGAGGGAUGCAGAAUUCCAGGUGUAGCGGUGAAAUGCGUAGAUAUCUGGAGGAAUACGGGUGGCGA